rnacentral:rRNA from 1 species
UACGUAGGGUCCGAGCGUUGUCCGGAAUUACUGGGCGUAAAGAGCUCGUAGGUGGUUUGUCGCGUUGUUCGUGAAAACUCACAGCUCAACUGUGGGCGUGCGGGCGAUACGGGCAGACUAGAGUACUGCAGGGGAGACUGGAAUUCCUGGUGUAGCGGUGAAAUGCGCAGAUAUCAGGAGGAACACCGGUGGCGAAGGCGGGUCUCUGGGCAGUAACUGACGCUCAUGCACGAAAGCGUGGGGAGCAAACAGG